GGGGGGACCAUCCUCCAAGGCUAAAUACUCCUGACUGACCGAUAGUGAACCAGUACCGUGAGGGAAAGGCGAAAAGAACCCCGGCGAGGGGAGUGAAAAAGAACCUGAAACCGUGUACGUACAAGCAGUGGGAGCACCUUCGGGUGUGACUGCGUACCUUUUGUAUAAUGGGUCAGCGACUUAUAUUCUGUAGCAAGGUUAACCGUAUAGGGGAGCCGCAGGGAAACCGAGUCUUAACUGGGCGUUAAGUUGCAGGGUAUAGACCCGAAACCCGGUGAUCUAGCCAUGGGCAGGUUGAAGGUUGGGUAACACUAACUGGAGGACCGAACCGACUAAUGUUGAAAAAUUAGCGGAUGACUUGUGGCUGGGGGUGAAAGGCCAAUCAAACCGGGAGAUAGCUGGUUCUCCCCGAAAGCUAUUUAGGUAGCGCCUCGUGAAUUCAUCUUCGGGGGUAGAGCACUGUUUCGGCUAGGGGGUCAUCCCGACUUACCAACCCGAUGCAAACUACGAAUACCGAAGAAUGUUAUCACGGGAGACACACGGCGGGUGCUAACGUCCGUCGUGAAGAGGGAAACAACCCAGACCGCCAGCUAAGGUCCCAAAGUCAUGGUUAAGUGGGAAACGAUGUGGGAAGGCACAGACAGCCAGGAUGUUGGCUUAGAAGCAGCCAUCAUUUAAAGAAAGCGUAAUAGCUCACUGGUCGAGUCGGCCUGCGCGGAAGAUGUAACGGGGCUAAACCAUGCACCGAAGCUGCGGCAGCGACACUAUGUGUUGUUGGGUAGGGGAGCGUUCUGUAAGCCUGCGAAGGUGACCUGUGAGGGUUGCUGGAGGUAUCAGAAGUGCGAAUGCUGACAUAAGUAACGAUAAAGCGGGUGAAAAGCCCGCUCGCCGGAAGACCAAGGGUUCCUGUCCAACGUUAAUCGGGGCAGGGUGAGUCGACCCCUAAGGCGAGGCCGAAAGGCGUAGUCGAUGGGAAACAGGUUAAUAUUCCUGUACUUGGUGUUACUGCGAAGGGGGG
rnacentral:rRNA from 1 species